UACGUAGGGUGCAAGCGUUGUCCGGAAUUAUUGGGCGUAAAGAGCUCGUAGGCGGUUCGUCGCGUCGGCUGUGAAAUCCCGAGGCUCAACCUCGGGUCUGCAGUCGAUACGGGCGGACUAGAGUUCGGCAGGGGAGACUGGAAUUCCUGGUGUAGCGGUGAAAUGCGCAGAUAUCAAGUGGAACACCAGUGGCGAAGGCGAGUCUCUGGACAUUUCCUGACGCUGAGGCACGAAAGCCAGGGGAGCAAACGGG
rnacentral:rRNA from 1 species